rnacentral:rRNA from 1 species
UACGGGGGGAGCAAGCGUUGUUCGGAUUUACUGGGCGUAAAGGGCGCGUAGGCGGUCACGACAAGUCAGUUGUGAAAUCUCCGGGCUUAACUCGGAACGGUCAACUGAUACUGUCGGACUAGAGUGCAGAAGGGGCAACUGGAAUUCUCGGUGUAGCGGUGAAAUGCGUAGAUAUCGAGAGGAACACCUGCGGCGAAGGCGGGUUGCUGGGCUGACACUGACGCUGAGGAACGAAAGCCAGGGGAGCGAACGGG